AUGGCCAGAUCGAAGAUCUGGUUGACGGUAAGCCGCCUACCUCUUCGUCCUUUCCUGCCAUCUGCCACUUUGGCUCUUUUUCUGAUUUGGUGCUCUUUUCUCCUUUUCUUCUUCUUUCUUGCGCAGAAUAUUUCCCUGGCUAUUCUACUGUCGCCAACCAGACCAUCGAGGCCCGUCGCCAAGCGCGAAGGCAGGCUGGCUUUGAGAUCUCGCCAACCGCCGGCCGCUCGCUGGAGGAGCGGCUCCUGGCGAUCCAGGCCCGCAUCCAGCCGGCUCACCGACUGCUCCGUCGGCUUCAGCGUGCCGGGGCGCAAGUCUUGGCCGCCCUCUGGCCCGGCCAAGUGGUUCCUCGCACCCCCAGUCGGACUGCCGACUGGCUGGAGGUGGCAGUCGGCCGCUUCGAGGCUUGGAAGGCCUCGGCGGCUCGCUCCGGCGCCAGGCGGGCGCUGGAGUUCGUCAAGGCCUGGUAUCCCGGCCUGA
rnacentral:rRNA from 1 species